UGAGCUAAGCAACCUCCGUAGCUGGAAUCAAGGCUUCACGGUGCAUCAAAGCCCUAGGACCUAGACCUCCGAUUCCGACUGGAGCCGCCAUACGAGUUGCACGCGCCGCCCCAGGCGAGUGGACCACUAUAGAUCCGUAGCUCACGGUUGCCGGAAAUCGUCAGGACUUCUUGACUAGGUAAUCCCGUGAUUUCUCUUUAGCUGGAGCCUCUAGUUUGAGUAGAGUGAACCCUAACAACUUCUUGUUUAAUUUGGAGCAUGAGGAAUCUGCGUUUUUGAAGAUUUUGGAGAAGAAGGAAUUGUUGGGUCAGUUUCGAUUGAAAUGGGAUAUGGGAUCAUAAUGGAUGAAGAUGGUGGGAAUGCAGCUAUGGUCACUCGAAUCCCCAUUUGGAAAAGAAGAAACGGACUCGAGCAUGUGCACAUGGAUUUGGACAAAUGAUCGAAAGUCAAGAACGAACCCGAAUGUUGACGAGCACUCCAAUUCCAGGUCUGUUCUGUGUCAACCCGGUGCAUGAUUCGAUGAUGUAGGGGUUAAUCCUGCGAGUCAGGGUAAUUGUGGCUGAAGCUGGUUCUGAUAGUUGCAGCUUUAUGGUAGGAAGCCAAUUUUGUGACUUUACCUUUAUUCAGACUUUCGCUUGUAGUAAGCUUGAGGAGCAUUUACUUAUUAUUUUGUUGUGGCAAUUUAAUUCAUAAAUUUCUGUAAUAUAUGACUCUGCAGAGCAAGUAUAUAUUGACAUUGUGGGUUUAGGGCAUCAGUAUGU